UGAAAGUGGCAGUAAGCCCUAUUUGCCCAUUCUUACAGUAUGUACUUAUGGCUCAGGUUGGCUGGACGUGAGCUGGAAACAUCACAUUAUUAUGUAUUGGCAGCAAUGGGAUGCAGUGGCUACAGGUGCAUUGGGCCAUGUCAGCCCUCAGGCCUGGGCAAGUAAAGCAUAAUGCUUAGUAUUAUGUUGGGAGAUGCACCAAAUGUAAAUAUUCUGUUCAGGGCUUCUAUGGGUUUUGUAUAAUCACAUAUCAACAACUCUGCAUAAAGCAUAAAAGAAUAUAAAGACGGGCUUCUCACUGAUUAUUUCACUGUGCAUGUAGUCAGAUCUCUCUCUUUUGUUUAAUAUACUGCAGGGCUUGUGGCGCUCCUGUGUUCCAACCAGAGCCCAGGAUACUUGCAUUAAUAGAGUGAUCUGAGUGAUCGGGCGCUGCUGUCUGUCCUCCAUAAAGGGGGAAUCCUGCCAAAGAAUCCAGUGGCAAAGAGGGCAAACGUGGUGCAGAUUCUUCAGAUCCUCCUUUCAAGGGCUUGUGGCGCUCCUGUGUUCCAACCAGAGCCCAGGAUACUUGCAUUAAUAGAGUGAUCUGAGUGAUCGGGCGCUGCUGUCUGUCCUCCAUAAAGGGGGAAUCCUGCCAAAGAAUCCAGUGGUAAAGAGGGCAAACGUGGUGCAGAUUCUUCAGAUCCUCCUUUCAAGAUAUUUCAAAGCAGUGGAACAACAACACAAUUUCUAUGCACUAUGGAUUCCAAUAUUCUACAAUCAGGGACAUCUUGAUCUGCAGUCAAAUGCUCUAACCCCAUAUUUAACGCUUUAGCAGAAGCCAGCUGACUGACAGACCCGUGGAGAAGCAGCAGUGUAUUAUUCCCCCACAACAGACACAGGAAAAACAAAGGAAGAAAAAAAGACUUGGAGAACCUCGUUCCAGAUGGCCUGGUCUUAGCCUAGAUGUUCCUGGACCAACUUUCAUCUUGCGAUGAUGCUCUUUUUGGACAGCCAAGGUUUCCUCCCGGCCCUCCUCCCAUGUAGGUGAGUGCAGCCUCUUUCUAAGGGUGUUGGUGCACUUCAGUAGCGGCAAGAGCUGCCUGUAGGCCCCGUGAUGGUUCUUCAUGGAGACACCUUUCUGCAUCUUGUCUUCUGCUCUUUGGCUGAACUUGCUGGGACGCCUGGGCAGGUUGGUAGGAAUUUGAAAUCUUCCUUGUAGGUGAUCUUCUGACAGUGGAAUGAUUGAUGUCCAGUUUCAUGAUGUUUUUCAAUCCCAUCCCAGACUCACAGGCAUCUAUAACCUUCACACUAAAGGCCUCAGAGAUCUCUUUCAGUCUAGGCAUGGUGGCACCACUGUGCAAACCAAACUACAAGCUUUCAGCACCUUUUUGCCACACUCUGGGCUACUUACCUGU